rnacentral:rRNA from 1 species
UGAAUACGAGACGCUAAGGCGUCGAAGUAGUGUAUGUCAUACUUCCAAGAAAAGCUUGCACUGUCAUAAGUAAAAAAUGCCUGUACCAUAACCGACACAGGUGGGUAGGUAGAGUAUACUAAGGGGCGCGAGAUAACUCUCUCUAAGGAACUCGGCAAAAUAACUCCGUAACUUCGGGAGAAGGAGUACCUUAUUCUAUAAGGUUGCAAUAACAAGAUCCAAGCAACUGUUUAUCAAAAACACAGGUCUCCGCUAAGUCGUAAGACGAUGUAUGGGGGCUGACGCCUGCCCAGUGCCAGAAGGUUAAAGAAGUCGGUUAGCAUUAGCGAAGCUGGUAACUGAAGCCCUGGUGAACGGCGGCCGUAACGAUAACGGUCCUAAGGUAGCGAAAUUCCUUGUCGGGUAAGUUCCGACCCGCACGAAAGGCGUAAUGAUUUGGAUACUGUCUCGGAGAGGGGCUCGGUGAAAUAGACUUGUCUGUGAAGAUGCGGACUACCUGCACCAGGACAGAAAGACCCUAUGAAGCUUUACUGUAACUUGAAAUUGAAAUUGGACUUUAUUCGCGCAGUAUAGGUGGGAGGUGUUGAUUAUAAUCUUGCGGGAUUAUUGGAGCCAUCAGUGAGAUACCACUCUUGUAAUGUUAGAUUUCUAACUUUGAAUCAUUAUCUGGUCAAAGGACAGUUUCAGGCGGGCAGUUUGACUGGGGCGGUCGCCUCCCAAACGGUAACGGAGGCGUACAAAGGUUUCCUCUGAACGGGUAGAAAUCGUAUCUAGAGUGUAAAGGCAUAAGGAAGCUUGACUGUGAGACCUACAAGUCGAACAGGGACGAAAGUCGGUCUUAGUGAUCUGACGGUACUGAGUGGAAAGGCCGUCACUCAACGGAUAAAAGUUACUCUAAGGAUAACAGGCUGAUCUCCCCCAAGAGUUCACAUCGACGGGGAGGUUUGGCACCUCGAUGUCGGCUCAUCGCAUCCUGGGGCGGUAGUACGUCCCAAGGGUUGGGCUGUUCGCCCAUGAAAGCGGUACGCGAGCUGGGUUCAGAACGUCGUGAGACAGUUCGGUCCAUAUCCGGUGUAGGCGUUAGAGUAUUGAGAGGAGCCUUCUUUAGUACGGGAGGACCGAGAAGGACAUACCUCUGGUGUACCAGUUAUCGUGCCAACGGUAAACGCUGGGUAGCUAUGUAUGGAGUGGAUAACCGCUGAAAGCAUCUAAGUGGGAAGCCCACCUCAAGAUAAGUAUUCAC